rnacentral:rRNA from 1 species
AGAUUGAACGCUGGCGGCAUGCUUUACACAUGCAAGUCGAACGGCAGCGCGGGGCAACCUGGCGGCGAGUGGCGAACGGGUGAGUAAUAUAUCGGAACGUACCCAAGAGUGGGGGAUAACGUAGCGAAAGUUACGCUAAUACCGCAUACGAUCUAAGGAUGAAAGCAGGGGACCGCAAGGCCUUGUGCUCCUGGAGCGGCCGAUAUCUGAUUAGCUAGUUGGUAGGGUAAAGGCCUACCAAGGCUACGAUCAGUAGCUGGUCUGAGAGGACGACCAGCCACACUGGAACUGAGACACGGUCCAGACUCCUACGGGAGCAGCAGUGGGAAUUUGGACAAGUGGCGCAAGCCUGAUCCAGCAAUGCCGCGUGAGUGAAGAAGGCCUUGGUUGUAAGCUCUUUGUCGAGGUAAGAACGGUAGAGAGACUAAUAUCUCUCGCUAAUGACGUACUAGAAGAAUAAG